UACGUAGGGGGCGAGCGUUGUCCGGAUUUAUUGGGCGUAAAGAGCGUGUAGGCGGCCAGGUAGGUCUGCUGUGAAAACUCGAGGCUCAACCUCGAGACGUCGGCGGAAACCAUCUGGCUAGAGUCCGGAAGAGGAGAGUGGAAUUCCUGGUGUAGCGGUGAAAUGCGCAGAUAUCGGGAAGAACACCCGUGGCGAAGGCGGCACUCUGGGACGGUACUGACGCUGAGACGCGAAAGCGUGGGGAGCGAACAGG
rnacentral:rRNA from 1 species